rnacentral:lncRNA from 1 species
AUUUGUGGCUGCCGCCAGAAUUUGUCAUUAGUAUUUUUAAUUUUUGUUCAUAGCACCACCUAUUUUACAUGUGCAUCGCCCUUUAAGUAAUUUCUCUUUGUUACUUAAGAAAGAUUUACAGCGCAUGCCUAGCGCGGGUCAAUGUCAAUAAAAGGCCUACAAACACAUUUUUAGUACGCACGAGAAAAUAGUUCCAUACAUUCAAGCAUAAGAAAUAAGUUAUUAUCAUUAAUUAUGUACUGAAAUGUAAAGUAAUGUUCAUUGAAAUGCGAAUAACAUUAGUAAAUUCUGUCAAAACUAAAUCGUUGGUCGUUUUAAGUAAAAUUCCAGUUGGACAAAUUAUUUGAUAUCCGUGUGCCGAUAAGUUCGGUGAACGCGUUGACCCUUGGCUUUUCUGAAUUACGACCUGGCCCAAGCAAUACGUGUUUUGUGGGGUCUUCAAGAAACGCCAAAGUUUCAAGGUAUAUUUUGCUGCCCAAGGAUGGAAAAGUCCUGCCAACGAGUUUUCACGGCACUGUUCAUCACUGUUACUUUGUUUUGACAAUCGUUAAGUCAAAUAAAGACAUUCGUCACCAGAAAAUGAA